UACGUAGGGGGCUAGGGUUGUCCGGAAUCAUUGGGCGUAAAGGGCGUGUAGGCGGUCCGGUAAGUCCGCUGUGAAAGUCGGGGGCUCAACCCUCGAAUGCCGGUGGAUACUGUCGGGCUAGAGUACGGAAGAGGCGAGUGGAAUUCCUGGUGUAGCGGUGAAAUGCGCAGAUAUCAGGAGGAACACCUAUUGCGAAGGCAGCUCGCUGGGACGUAACUGACGCUGAGACGCGAAAGCGUGGGGAGCAAACAGG
rnacentral:rRNA from 1 species